rnacentral:rRNA from 1 species
AUUGAACGCUGGUGGCAUGCUUAACACAUGCAAGUCGGACGAGUGGCGGACGGGUGGGUAAUAUAUCGGCACGUACCGAAUAAAGGGGGAUAACUAGUCGAAAGAUUAGCUAAUACCGCAUAUUAUUCGAGCGGCCGAUAUCUGAUUAGGUAGUUGGUGGGGUAAAGGCCUACCAAGGCGACGAUCCGUAGCGGGUCUGAGAGGAUGAUCGGCCACACUGGGACUGAGACACGGCCCAGACUCCUACGGGAGGCAGCAGUGGGGAAUUUUGGACAAUGGGCGCAAGCCUGAUCCAGCCAUGCCGCGUGUCUGAAGAAGGCCUUCGGGUUGUAAAGGACUUUUGUCAGGGAAGCGGUACCUGAAGAAUAAGCACCGGCUAACUACGUGCCAGCAGCCGCGGUAAUUC